CGCGACGCUGAGGGGACGGAGAGGCGGCCAUGGCGGCUCUGCGGGGGAAGAGGGGUCGGGAUCGCUGAAGAGCCGCCGUGAUGUGGGCACAGGAGGGAUCCAUCUCCAGGGCUUGAUGUGGAGUCCUGGCCACCCUGUGAAAAGACUCAGCCAUGGCGGGCAAAGGCAAAAAACGCAAGGGUGGGAAAGGCAGAAGAUCCAGAAAGGGUGGAAAGAAGCAGGUGAAAGGAGUGGAUCUCUUCAGCCCAGCUGCCAUGCUCAAUGCUUACUACAUCUCUCACAACGCUGCUGCCUUCCUGGAAUUCCGGGGCUAUCCCUGGCCUGGCUCUCUCAAAAAGAAGGGGAAGAAAAAGAAGUGAAAAUCAAACUCCCCCAGUGAAGACUUUGCUUUGUGAUUAAAUCCAUCCU